GCAAGCGUCCCACGUGUAGAGUGAUUAUUUGCAUAGUAGUUAGAGUCGUUACAUCUCAGUUUGACUUCUGAAUAUUCUCUGAAUAUAUUCGGGGAGCUUUUUAGUUAAUUGUGAAAAAUCAAAGUGUUGUGAGAGGAAUUGGAAAGAUAAUUGUGAAAAAUCAAAGCGUUGUGAGAGGAAUUGGAAAGACACAACAUGUCUUGUGGUGCCGGUGUACGAUUUGAGGCUUGUUUAUGUUCUACCGAGAGCAGUGGCAACUCCUGGUGUAAAUACGAAAUGAAAAUACGAGAAUAACGUCUUGAUGUUUCGAAAUUGGAGAUUCGAAUGGAUGAGGGAUCGCAUUACCUGACCUCCGGCCAAGGAUUUGGUGCUUUGGGUUUCUCUGGAGGUCUGCAAAAGGAAUUCACCCAGCAGACGCCAUUUGAAUGUUUGAUGGUCGGAUGAGACCUGGGGUUUUCGCCGUUGGCGUGUGCACACACAGAAGACGUAUAUGAUGGGGCAAAUUCUGAGGGCGCCUCGGCUCGUGGCUGUGAUUAAUUUGAAUCAGUGAAUAGCUCCGAGGGUUGCAGUGGCAAUACAGAUUGAGCGUUGGAGGUCUCAGGAGGGAGUUGGUGAGAGCAAGUGUCCCGAGCGACAAGCCAUGAGGAACUUGGAGAGGAUGCCACGAGGACGACCUAAUAACUCCUCAUCCUCUGGAAUAAAAUGCGUGAAUCCGUCGAGUUUACAGCUCGGUGUUCACCCCCCCAAAAAAAAAGUCGAAAAAAUCACUCCCCCAUUU